rnacentral:misc_RNA from 1 species
GAUGAAGAACGUAGCAAAAUGCGAUAAGUAAUGUGAAUUGCAGAAUUCAGUGAAUCAUCGAAUCUUUGAACGCACGUUGCGCCCGCCAGUAUUCUGGCGGGCAUGCCUGUUCGAGCGUCAUUUCAACCCUCAAGCACAGCUUGGUGUUGGGACUCGCGUUAAUUCGCGUUCCUCAAAUUGAUUGGCGGUCACGUCGAGCUUCCAUAGCGUAGUAGUAAAACCCUCGUUACUGGUAAUCGUCGCGGCCACGCCGUUAAACCCCAACUUCUGAAUGUUGACCUCGGAUCAGGUAGGAAUACCCGCUGAACUUAAGCAUAUCAAUAAGCGGAGGA